rnacentral:rRNA from 1 species
CCUACGGGAGGCAGCAGUAGGGAAUAUUGCUCAAUGGGGGAAACCCUGAAGCAGCAACGCCGCGUGGAGGAUGAAGGUUUUAGGAGUGUAAACUCCUGUUGGUAGAGAAGAGGAUGACGGUAGCUAACGAAUAAGCACCGGCUAACGCCGUGCCAGCAGCCGCGGUAAUACGGAGGAAGCGAGCGUGAUCCGGAUUUAGUGGGUGUAAAGGGUGCGUAGGCGGAAUGCCAAGUCAGCGGUAAAAUCGCGGGGCUCAACCUCGCUCCGCCGUUGAAACGGGCGUUCUUGAGUGGGCGAGAAGUAUGCGGCAUGCGUGUUGUAGCGGUGCCAUGCCUAGAUCUCACGCAGAACUCCGAUUGC